rnacentral:rRNA from 1 species
CAUGCAAGUCGAGCCGGAUUGAUGGAGCUUGCUCCCUGAUAUCAGCGGCGGACGGGUGAGUAACACGUGGGUACCUGCCUGUAAGACUGGGAUAACUCCGGGAAACCGGGGCUAAUACCGGUAACUCAUUUCCUCGCAUGAGGAAAUGUUGAAAGGUGGCUUUUAGCUACACUUACAGAUGGACCCGCGGCGCAUUAGCUAGUUGGUGAGGUAACGGCUACCAAGGCAACGAUGCGUAGCCGACCUGAGAGGGUGAUCGGCCACACUGGACUGAGACACCGCCCAGACUCCUACGGGAGGCAGCAGUAGGGAAUCUUCGCAAUGGACGAAAGUCUGACGGAGCAACGCCGCGUGAGUGAUGAAGGUUUCGGAUCGUAAAGCUCUGUUGUUAGGGAAGAACAAGUACCGUUCGAAUGGCCGGUACCUUGACGGUACCUAACCAGAAAGCCACGCCUAACUACGUGCAGCAGCCGCGGUAAU